rnacentral:rRNA from 1 species
CCAGAGAAUUUAGCAGAGAUGCUUUAGUGCCUUCGGGAACUCUGAGACAGGUGCUGCAUGGCUGUCGUCAGCUCGUGUUGUGAAAUGUUGGGUUAAGUCCCGCAACGAGCGCAACCCUUAUCCUUUGUUGCCAGCACGUAAUGGUGGGAACUCAAAGGAGACUGCCGGUGAUAAACCGGAGGAAGGUGGGGAUGACGUCAAGUCAUCAUGGCCCUUACGAGUAGGGCUACACACGUGCUACAAUGGCGCAUACAAAGAGAAGCGACCUCGCGAGAGCAAGCGGACCUCAUAAAGUGCGUCGUAGUCCGGAUUGGAGUCUGCAACUCGACUCCAUGAAGUCGGAAUCGCUAGUAAUCGUAAAUCAGAAUGUUACGGUGAAUACGUUCCCGGGCCUUGUACACACCGCCCGUCACACCAUGGGAGUGGGUUGCAAAAGAAGUAGAUAGCUUAACCUUCGGGAGGGCGUUCACCACUUUGUGAUUCAUGACUGGGGUGAAGUCGUAACAAGGUAAGCGUAGUGCU